CACGUCUCAGGCUGUUUGUGCAGGAUUUUUUUUUUUCCCUCUUCGGAUUUUGUUUUUAAUAAGGGUCAGAGGUCUGGGCUUCUGUGGGGAAGGAGAAAGGGUCACCUCGGAUGGACAGACCAGGAGCUCUCAGGAGGACAGGGGCAGAGCGCUGGACCAAGAAGCGGGAGACCAGGUCGUAUGUGACCCCGGGGAAAUGACCUCCCAAUGUUCCUCACCCCAGUUGAAGUGCCUUAGAAGACUCAGGCAAUGGCACCCCACUCCAGUACUCUUGCCUGGAAAAUCCCAUGGAUGGAGGAGCCUGGUGGGCUGCAGUCCAUGGGGUCGCUGAGGGUCGGACACGACUGAGCGACUUUACUUUCACUUUUCACUUUCAUGCAUUGGAGAAGGAAAUGGCAACCCACUCCAGUGUUCUUGCCUGGAGAAUCCCAGGGACGGGGGAGCCUGGUGGGCUGCCGUCUAUGGGGUCGCACCGAGUUGGACACGACUGAAGCGACUUAGCAGCAGUAGCAGGAGCAGAAGACUCAGGAGACCUCCCAUUUUGGGGUCGUUACUAUUACUUUUGUGGUCAUGUUGUUACAGUGAAGGGAGCUGCUCUAGAGCAACUGGCUUUGGGAGGUGUUCAGUACGGUUGUGAGAGUUGGACCAUAAAGAAUGCUGAGCGCCGCAGAAUUGAUGCUUUCAAACUGUGGUGCUGAAGAAGACUCUUGAGAGUCCCUGGGACAGCAAGGAGAUCAAACCAUUCAAUCCUAAAAGAAAUCAACCCUGAAUAUUCAUUGGAAGGACUGACACUGAAGCUAAAGCUCCAAUACAUUGGCCUCCUGAUUCGAAGAGCGGACCCAAUGAAAAAGACCCUGAUGCUGGGAAAGAUUGAAGGCAGGAGGAGAAAGGGGUGACAGAGGAUGAGAUGGUUGGAUGGCACCACCAACUCAAUGGGCACGAAUUUGAACAAACUCAGGGAGACAGUGAAGGACAGGGAAGCCUGGCGUGUUGCAGUCCAUAGGAUCACAAAGAGUCAGACAAGGCUUAGCAACUGGGCAACAACAGCAACACACUCAUUAAGCAGUCAUCAUUUGUUCACUCACUCACUCACUCAACGAAUGUUUAUCACUGUGACCUGUGCUGGGCACCAGGCCGGGUGCGGCGGCAGAUACAAGAUCAGACUAGACCCACAAACCGGGGAAGAGUGGUGGACAGGUGUCACCCUUGGUCGCCAACUCCACGCUUGGUAAAGGCUGUGUUGAGAAGCCUACGCUGAGGAUUCUGAAGCUGCAUCCUGGCUUUGAGAAGAAGAGUGCUGUGAUCAACUAGUCAUGUCUGCCAUGAGCACAGAAAGGGAGUCAAGGCCAAUGCCUUUGCCAGCCUUAAUGCUAAAGAACGGGAGGACCUCAGACAGGAGACCCUUUUGACUGUGCCUGCUCUGCUGCAUGACCUUGGGCAAGACAUGGACCUGCUGCCUGCCUCCUUUCACUCCUUUGGAGGCACAGGCACUGACAGGAGAGUCUGCAUUUUUAGCGAUCGAAGGAGCUAGAGCAAGACAGCCCAGUCUUCCUCUUAGAACUCAUCUUGCUCUGGGCAGAUGUGAGAAUCAAAUGUGAAACUCCCCUACGUGGAAACACAGGGCUGUCAGUGUGUGUGUGGUGGGGUAGGAGCCCAGGAAAGACGGUCCCCAGCCGCUCUGCUGACUGUCCUAGUCCAGACCUCGGCUUCUCUACGUGCACAAUGAGGAGGAUGGAGAGGGGAAGUGCUGAAGUGCUCCCCAAAUCUGCUGCGUGUGAUGCCUGUCAUGCUGAGGCCUUUGGGGGACAAGGAAGGCAGGAUGAAAGAGGAGCCUCUGGACGAGGUGGUGGGAGGGAGCUCUCCAAUACUCUUGGCAAAGCCCGAGACCCCCUCCAAGGGUGGCAAGAGGCUGGGAAGGACGUGGGGAAGGGAUGUGGGGCUGCUGCAGCACCCAAGGGGAGGAUACAUCUUCUGGGUUCGUUCUGAGGGUUGUUCGGCUCCACUGGGAGUCUCUUUCCCAGAUGCACCCCAUAGAUGCCAUCCCUGAGCAAGGAAGGGAAAGGAGAAGAGAGUGGGAAAGAUGGGGAAGGGUUGGAGGAGCGGAGACUCCUGACUGGUGGGAGUCUGGGUCCCAGGCGGUGAUGCCCCCGGCCCCAGGGAGAAUAGAAACAGCAGAAGGAAGACAAGGGCAGGUCCCUGGAAGUCAUGGAGCCACCACUGGUCCUCAGAAACAGAUCCACCAGGUCUCCACAAGCCUGACUCUGGGGGUUGGGGCAUCGAGGCUGUACCAUCCACCUGCCUUUAAAAUCCCUUGUGGUUCCUUGUUGCCUUAAGGUGAAGUCUGAACUCCUUAGAGGUAUCACAUGCUGCUGGGUGAGGUUUGGGGGCCUGGAUCCAAGUCUCAGUCCAGCCGCUAUCAGCUGUGUGACAACCAGCAACUUACAUAACCUCUCUGGAUCUCAGUUAUUGCAUCCGACAAUGAGGAUGAUAAUAGUACUCACGUAAGAGGACUGUAGCAUGAGUUGAAGAAUCGAUGUUUUGAACUGUGGUGCUGAAGACUCUUGAGAGUCCCUUGGACAGCAAGGAGAUCCAACCAGUCCAUCCUAAAAGAAAUCAACCCUGAAUAUUCACUGGAAGGACUGAUGCUGAAGCUGAAGCGCCAAUACUUUGGCCACCUGAUGCAAAGAGCCGACUCAUUGGAAAAAACCCUGAUGCUGGGAAGUAUUGAGGGCAAGAGGAGAAGGGGGCGACAGAGGAUGAGAUGAUUGGAUGGCAUCACCAACUCAAUGGACAUGAGUUUGGGCAUCCUCUUGGGGAUAGUGGAGGACAGAGAAACCUGGCAUGCUGUAGUCUAUGGGGUCAAAGAGCGUCAGACAGGACUGAGUGACUGAACAACAAGAGGAGUGAGUGAGCUUCAGAGCUUGCCUCAGGCUUAGCAUGGUGCUGGAUGCAUUAUAACCGUUCAAUAGCAGAUGGCAUUGUUAUCCCUGCUGUUGUGUAGUCGAUAAGUCGUGUCUGACUCCUUUGCGACCCCAUGGACUGUAGUUUACAGAGUCUGCUCCGUGGGAUUUCUCAGGCAAGAAUCCGGGAGCGGGAUGCUAUGGCCUUCCCAACCCAGGGAUGGAACCCGCCUCUCUAGCACUGGCAGAUGGGUUCGAGCUCGAUGAUGAUGCCAAAGGCCCUGACCGCGUGAACCCGUCUUCCUCACCCAUCUCGUUGGCGCCAACCACUCGACUCCACCGGGCUGCUCUGUCCUCCUGGUGCGCCAUGUUCUUUCGGGUCAGGCCUCUGGGCCUUUGCUUGCACGGUGCGCUCUGCCAGGAGCGCCCUUUCUUCUCCCUGCUGCUUUUGGACCUCGGUCCGCCGUCAGCUGCUCUGGGAACCACCCUCCUGGCGAGUUGCUCUGCAUCCUCUCUGCAUCCAGAGUUCUGUGCCCACACGGCCCAUGGCUGUCGCCCACAUGGCGUCCGUGUUUACCUCCCCUCUGACUCUCCUACUUUGGCCAGUGCCCAAGCCGUGAGCCCUCGCGGUGGAAGGACGCAGACCACUCCCCACUCCUGCACUGCUGCUUCCUUAUCAGACAGAAGCAGGAUGCCUGAGCGCCCCUCUGAUGAGUCCCGUGGGAGCAGUUUCUGUGACAUGCUGGGGCCUCCAAGUUAGCGCUCAGCACGAGGGGGAGGUUCAGAGGCCCCCCACCCUCCCUCCCACCCCCUGCACAUUUCCUAGCCCUUCCCCUGCUUACCUUCACUGCCUUCUGCUCCUGGCCUGGGAAGAGCCACUAAUCUAUGGGACCAAGUAGGA
ensembl:lncRNA